rnacentral:rRNA from 1 species
UACGUAGGGUGCAAGCGUUGUCCGGAAUUAUUGGGCGUAAAGAGCUCGUAGGCGGUUUGUCGCGUCUGCUGUGAAAACCCGAGGCUCAACCUCGGGCCUGCAGUCGAUACGGGCGGACUCGAGUUCGGCAGGGGAGACUGGAAUUCCUGGUGUAGCGGUGAAAUGCGCAGAUAUCAGGAGGAACACCGGUGGCGAAGGCGGGUCUCUGGGCAAUAACUGACGCUGAGGAGCGAAAGCGUGGGGAGCGAACAGG